ACUUUAAAAUGUUUUAUUUAAGUAUCACAAUGUUUUACAUAAUAAUCAACGAAUCAGUCUUCCUCAUCCAGCUUCUACCUGACUAAAAACUUUAGAAAUAACAUAGGAAAUGUAGAACAACAAAUAAUCAAAUAUUUAUUAAAUAAUUAAAGAUAAAAAAAACUAUGUAAUUAGUCAAUUCUUCCACUUCCACUCAUUUUCACCUAUUGAUUAGAUAUCACAGGAAAUUUCUAAAGAUUACGAUUUUAAUAGGUACGCUGUUAAAACUGCAGGAGUGAAGAAAUUGUUUUCAUAGAUGUUAAUGUUGAUUGUUAUUGUUAUUCUUUUUUAUACAAUGACACUAAACACGUUUCGUUACUGCAAUUUUUUUUUACAUUGUUUGAAGAUUUGAAGUUAUUUAUUCCGUGUCAUAGAUUGUAGCAUCUGCGUAGAACGAAAUGUGUUGAUAAAUCUCAAGAAAAGGAGUCGUAUUUCUUCCAUAGACAAAAGAAAAUGAGACCGGAAAUGAUUUAAUUAGCUAUAGAACGUAAAAAAUCCUAAGCGAAAUGUUUCUAGCUUCCUUUUUGAAGGAAUGUCAAAAUACCGACUUAGAAUACCGAUUUGAAGUGUUCUGUGAGAGAUCCCUUAUGGCAUCCUUCAACAAGUGAAGUAGAAUCUUAAGUGAAGGAAAUGACUUAGAAUAUGGGUGU